UACGUAGGGCGCGAGCGUUGUCCGGAAUUAUUGGGCGUAAAGAGCUCGUAGGCGGCCUGUUACGUCUGCUGUGAAAUCCCGGGGCUUAACCCCGGGCGUGCAGUGGAUACGGGCAGGCUGGAGGCAGGCAGGGGAGAACGGAAUCCCGGUGUAGCGGUGAAAUGCGCAGAUAUCGGGAGGAACACCGGUGGCGAAGGCGGUUCUCUGGGCCUGUACUGACGCUGAGGUGCGAAAGCGUGGGGAGCAAACAGGAUAGAU
rnacentral:rRNA from 1 species